rnacentral:sRNA from 1 species
AUACAUAGUCAAUACUCAAUACAUUCAUUUUUAACUCGGUUUGGAGAAUGUAUUGUUUACUAGAUUUUAACCCGCGGUAUACUGCGAGAACAAUUUUAUUUUUAAAUUAGUAUAUAUUAAAGUUUGCAAAUUAAAUCUAUUUAUAU